UACGGAGGGUGCAAACGUUGCUCGGAAUCAUUGGGCGUAAAGCGCACGUAGGUGGCCUGUUAAGUCGGGUGUGAAAUCCCUGGGCUCAACCCAGGAAGUGCACUCGAAACUGGCAGGCUUGAGUACUGAAGAGGGUCGCGGAAUUCCCGGUGUAGAGGUGAAAUUCGUAGAUAUCGGGAGGAACACCAGUGGCGAAGGCGGCGACCUGGACGACAUGACGCUGAGACGACGAAGCGUGGGGAGCAAACAGGG
rnacentral:rRNA from 1 species